rnacentral:rRNA from 1 species
GACGAACGCUGGCGGCGUGCUUAACACAUGCAAGUCGAACGGAAAGGCCCUGCUUUUGUGGGGGGCUCGAGUGGCGAACGGGUGAGUAACACGUGAGUAACCUGCCCUUGACUUUGGGAUAACUUCAGGAAACUGGGGCUAAUACCGGAUAGGAGCUCCUGCUGCAUGGUGGGGGUGGGAAAGGUUCGGCGGUUGGGGAUGGACUCGCGGCUUAUCAGCUUGUUGGUGGGGUAGUGGCUUACCAAGGCUUUGACGGGUAGCCGGCCUGAGAGGGUGACCGGCCACAUUGGGACUGAGAUACGGCCCAGACUCCUACGGGAGGCAGCAGUGGGGAAUAUUGCACAAUGGGCGGAAGCCUGAUGCAGCAACGCCGCGUGCGGGAUGACGGCCUUCGGGUUGUAAACCGCUUUCGCCUGUGACGAAGCGUGAGUGACGGUAAUGGGUAAAGAAGCACCGGCUAACUACGUG